GCUAAAGAUGCGUAAUCACAUUUUUUUUGGGUAUAGUUAUUAACAAAUUUUUCUACUUAAAAAUUGUAUGUACGGUUUUCUGGGCUGAAUUGUCUAUUCUAGUCGCCUCAAAAAUUGAAAUAUAAACAACGAGAUAAUCACUGAUUAGGUAUAACCGCAUACAAAAUUUCAUAAACUUUCUCCCGUCGAAUAUAUUUGUACUUUAAGAAAUUAAUUUUUGAUUAAUAUCAAAAUCCAUAAUUCUACAGGGAAUCUAGCAUGGCAAUAAUAAAGGAUUAUCCAGUAGAUAGUAGUUCUAAAGCCGGAUUAUAGCAUUUGCAAUGAAAGAGAGAAACUAAAUUUUCUACUUGAUAAAAAAUGAAUUAUAGAAAACUAAAAUGUGGAAUAUGUGAAACUAAACAAAUUUACGCAAAGCUUCCAAUCUUCAUGUAAGUACUUUCUAAAAACUUGUAGUGCCAAAAUUAAGCAU